AUUGGAAUACCUUCUUAUAUAUUAUCUUACUACAAGUUAUCGGAAAUGUACGGCCGCAUUUUGAAGGAAAGUUAUAGGAAAGUCUUUCCCUUCAAAAUGUUACGGUUAAAUUGUCAUCAACUUUAAAUAGAAAAUUGCGAUCAACUUAACCACAACAAUUGUUAGGUAAAAAUUUUCUAGUAAGUUGUAUAUAAGUAAUUUCACCAAAAAUUAGGUUAGAAUAUACGCAAAUUAAGUGAUGAUAAAUUAUGGUUGCAUCUCUCAUUCACUACCAUUGAGGUUUAUUAGUUGGACAUUGUUAGUUACAAAGUAUUGAACAAGCAUUUGUGUUAGGAAGUGACUUAAUAACAAAAUCAAAAUGAAGUUUACCUACAUAAAUUAUAAGCACUGUGUUCAUGUAUACGUUACCUAUAUGGGCAGGUAGACAGGGGCUGACUGCCAGGUAGAUAUGUAAUGUCAGUGGCAGAAAUAUAUGAUCAUGACCAAAGAUUUUAAUUAAAAAUUAAAUUAAAAAAAAAAACGCUAUUUUGUAAGUUUCAAGAUAGGAUCAACACUGCAUCAAUUUAAAGCUAAGCCUUAUUUAGUCUCUGAUUUUGAGCGAUCAAUUGGGUUAUAUGAUGCAUUUGUCUACCAUUAUAAGAAUUUCAACUCGAGCACGACAGCUCGUUGUAAGAAUGUGUAAUUAUAAAUGUACAAGUAUAGGUACUAAAAAUGUAUGAGACGUAACCGUCAGAAAUACAGUUUUGACAUUAUUUUGUCAUGAAAUUACAAAGAAUACAAGUUACAGAAUACAUUUAACAUAUAACAACUUUUCUUUCUAGAAACUUUAACAGAGUACCUAUGGAGGACAGAAUGUAUAUCUUCUUUGAGUUUGCAGAUGAUUGCAUUCAUAACAUAAACCUGUUUGCUGGAUUCCCCUUCUCUGCAUAAGCUUAUUUAUUUUACUUUCUUAAUUACCUAUGUUGUUCAUAAUUUGUUUUCUCGGUUGGUUUUUAUUUGCUGAAAAUUUCUUACAAACAUUUGUUCUCCAUGUGAUUUCGAACUGGAUUGGGCAUCGAACUGAGGGUGAUGAAAAGUUUCCGCUGCAUUCCAGGCGCCUUACUUAUGAUUUAUGUAAAGCUUUAUUGGAAAUGUAUCCCAACAGCACUGAGACUGAUGUAAAGAAUACUAUACAAGAAGCAUUGAAGGCUGGGAAUUCCCGCAUUUAUCAACGCUGCAAAAAUAAGAAACAAUCUGAAGGACCAGCAGCCAAGAAAAGAAGAACAAGUGUUUCUAUUUUAAAUAGUACUUGGAUUCCAAUAGACGAGAGCUCAGAUGAAGAAAAUACUAAUAAAAGUACAAAGGAAAAGGCUGAUAGUGCAGAUGAGAUUGCAUAAUUUUAUUUAUUUAUUUAAUAGGAAAAUGAAAAUUUGGCAAUAAUAUAUAAUAAUAAUAAUA